GGAUCCAGACUUUGAUCCUGGCUCAGGAUGAACGCUAGCUACAGGCUUAACACAUGCAAGUCGAGGGGAAACGACAUCGAAAGCUUGCUUUUGAUGGGCGUCGACCGGCGCACGGGUGAGUAACGCGUAUCCAACCUGCCCAUCACUUGGGGAUAACCUUGCGAAAGUAAGACUAAUACCCAAUGAUAUCUCUAGAAGACAUCUGAAAGAGAUUAAAGAUUUAUCGGUGAUGGAUGGGGAUGCGUCUGAUUAGCUUGUUGGCGGGGUAACGGCCCACCAAGGCAACGAUCAGUAGGGGUUCUGAGAGGAAGGUCCCCCACAUUGGAACUGAGACACGGUCCAAACUCCUACGGGAGGCAGCAGUGAGGAAUAUUGGUCAAUGGACGAGAGUCUGAACCAGCCAAGUAGCGUGCAGGACGACGGCCCUAUGGGUUGUAAACUGCUUUUAUAAGGGAAUAAAGUGAGUCCCGUGAGACUUUUUGCAUGUACCUUAUGAAUAAGGACCGGCUAAUUCCGUGCCAGCAGCCGCGGUAAUACGGAAGGUCCGGGCGUUAUCCGGAUUUAUUGGGUUUAAAGGGAGCGUAGGCCGGAGAUUAAGCGUGUUGUGAAAUGUAGAUGCUCAACAUCUGAACUGCAGCGCGAACUGGUUUCCUUGAGUACGCACAAAGUGGGCGGAAUUCGUGGUGUAGCGGUGAAAUGCUUAGAUAUCACGAAGAACUCCGAUUGCGAAGGCAGUUCACUGGAGCGCAACUGACGCUGAAGCUCGAAAGUGCGGGUAUCGAACAGGAUUAGAUACCCUGGUAGUCCGCACGGUAAACGAUGGAUGCCCGCUGUUGGUCUGAAUAGGUCAGCGGCCAAGCGAAAGCAUUAAGCAUCCCACCUGGGGAGUACGCCGGCAACGGUGCAACUCAAAGGAAUUGACGG
rnacentral:rRNA from 1 species